rnacentral:rRNA from 1 species
CCUACGGGAGGCAGCAGUGAGGAAUAUUGGUCAAUGGACGAGAGUCUGAACCAGCCAAGUAGCGUGAAGGAUGACUGUCCUCUGGAUUGUAAACUUCUUUUAUCUGGGAAUAAAAUGUUCCACGUGUGGGAGGAUGUAUGUACCAUAUGAAUAAGGAUCGGCUAACUCCGUGCCAGCAGCCGCGGUAAUACGGAGGAUCCGAGCGUUAUCCGGAUUUAUUGGGUUUAAAGGGAGCGUAGGUGGAUUGUUAAGUCAGUUGUGAAAGUUUGCGGCUCAACCGUAAAAUUGCAGUUGAAACUGGCGGUCUUGAGUACAGUAGAGGUAGGCGGAAUUCGGGGUGUAGCGGUGAAAUGCGUAGAUAUCACGAAGAACUCCGAUUGCGAAGGCAGUUUGCUGGACUGCAACUGACGCUGAGGCUCGAAAGUGUGGGUAUCAAACAGGAUUAGAUACCCGUGUAGUC